UACGUAGGGCGCGAGCGUUGUCCGGAUUUAUUGGGCGUAAAGAGCUCGUAGGCGGUUUGUCGCGUCGGCUGUGAAAACCCACGGCUUAACUGUGGGCUUGCAGCUGAUACGGGCAGGCUAGAGUUCGGUAGGGGAGACUGGAAUUCCUGGUGUAGCGGUGAAAUGCGCAGAUAUCAGGAGGAACACCGGUGGCGAAGGCGGCUCUCUGGUACGUGACUGACGCUGAGACGCGAAAGCGUGGGGAGCAAACAGG
rnacentral:rRNA from 1 species